rnacentral:rRNA from 1 species
AACGGCCGUACCAUGCUGAAUAUACCGGUUCUCGUUAGGUCACCGAAGUUAAGCAUCAUUGGGCGUGGUCAGUACUUGGGUGGGUGACCACCUGGGAACACUGCGUGCCGUU